AAAUUAUAAUAAGGGUGUUUGGUGGAUGCCUAGGCAACAAAAGGCGAUGAAGGACGUGAUAGACUGCGAUAAGCUACGAGUAGGUGUCAAUAACCGUUUAUUCGUAGAUUUCCGAAUGGGGAAACCCAUCAAGUUUACUUGAUAUUUUAAGAUGAAUAUAUAGCCUUAAAAAGCGAACCUGGAGAACUGAAAUAUCUUAGUACCCAGAGGAAAAGAAAUCAACCGAGAUUCCGCUAGUAGUGACGAGCGAACGUGGAAAAGGCCAGUCUUUUAGUAAUUAUAACUAGAAUAUUUUGGAAAAAAUAACUGUAGAAGGUGAUAGUCCUGUAUAGGUAAAAAAUUAUUAAAAGCAUGAGUAAAGCGGGACACGUGAAAUCCUGUUUGAAUAUGGGGGGACCACCCUCCAAGCCUAAAUACUAUUUGUUGACCGAUAGUGAACCAGUACCGUGAGGGAAAAGCGAAAAGAACCUCGAUAAGAGGAGUGAAAUAGAACCUGAAACCAAACACUUACAAGCUGUCGGAGCAUAAUUCUUUUUUCGGAAAGAAGACGUGUGACGGCGUACCUUUUGUAUAAUAGGUCAGCGAGUUAGUGUAUCUAGCAAGGUUAAGUCGUUAGAUGUAGCCGCAGCGAAAGCGAGUCUGAAUAGGGCGAAUAUAGUUAGAUGCAUUAGACCCGAAACCGAGUGAUCUAGCCAUGAGCAGGUUGAAGUUGGGGUAAUACCCAAUGGAGGACCGAACCCAACAAUGUUGCAAAAUUGUGGGAUGACUUGUGGUUAGGGGUGAAAGGCCAAUCAAACUCGGAAAUAGCUGGUUCUCCGCGAAAUCUAUUUAGGUAGAGCGUUGUUCGUUUAUCAUUAGGGGUAGAGCACUAGAUAGGCUAGGGGUGUCAAAAGCCUUACCAAACCUAACUAAACUCCGAAUACUAAUGAAUAUAGAACAGCAGACAGGCUAUGGGUGCUAAGGUCCAUAGCCGAGAGGGAUACAGCCCAGAUCAUCAUCUAAGGUCUCUAAGAUAUAAUUAAGUGUGAAAGAAUGUGAAGACGCCAAAACAACUAGGAGGUUGGCUUAGAAGCAGCCAUCCCUUAAAGAAAGCGUAACAGCUCACUAGUCUAAUAGCGACUUUGCGCCAAAAAUGUAACGAGGCUAAAUUAUACACCGAAGAUAUGAGUUUAUAGUAUUUAUACUAUAAGCGGUAGCGGAGCGUUGUGUAAGUCUGUGAAGGUGAAUUGUGAAAUUUGCUGGAGACAUCACAAGUGAGAAUGCUGACAUGAGUAGCGUAAAGGAGUGUGAAAAACACUCCCGCCGAAAGUCCAAGGGUUCCUGUGUAAAGUUAAUCUGCGCAGGGUUAGCCGGCUCCUAAGAUGAGGCUGAGAAGCGUAAUCGAUGGGAAUCACGUAAAUAUUCGUGAGCCUGCUAAAAGUGACGAAAUUUAGAAGUUGUAUUGUGCUAUUGGAUUCAUAAUGCAGCCAAGAAUUUCCAGGAAAUAGCUUUAGCAUAUAGACCGUACCCCAAACCGACACUGGUGGACAGGUAGAGUAUACUAAGGCGUAGAGUGAAUAAUGUUGAAGGAACUAGACAAAUUACAUCCGUAACUUCGGGAAAAAGAUGACCUAGUAUAGGCAACUAUAUCUAGGUGGCACAAACCAAGGAGAAACGACUGUUUAUCAAAAACACAGGGCUCUGCAAACUCGAAAGAGGAAGUAUAGGGUCUGACGCCUGCCCAGUGCUGGAAGGUUAAGGUAAGAUGUGCAAGCUUCGAACUUAAGCCCAAGUAAACGGCGGCCGUAACUAUGACGGUCCUAAGGUAGCGAAAUUCCUUGUCGGGUAAGUUCCGACCUGCAUGAAUGGCGUAACGAUUUCUCCAUUGUCUCCAACAUUAGCUCAGCGAAAUUGAAUUCUCCGUGAAGAUGCGGAGUCCCUGCGGUUAGACGGAUAGACCCCGUGAACCUUUACUAUAGCUUUACAUUGAUAUUAGGAAUUAGAUGUGUAGGAUAGGUGGGAGACAUUGAAGCUACGGCGCCAGUUGUAGUGAAGUCAUCCUUGAAAUACCACCCUUCUGAUUUUUGAUAUCUAACCAAAAACUGUGAAUCCAGUUUUGAGACAGUGUAUGGUGGGUAGUUUGACUGGGGCGGUCACCUCCUAAAGAGUAACGGAGGUGUGCGAAGGUAAGCUCAAGCUGGUCGGAAAUCAGCCCAAAGAGUGCAAUGGCAUAAGCUUGCCUGACUGCGAGACUGACAAGUCGAGCAGAGACGAAAGUCGGUCAUAGUGAUCUGGUGGUUCUGCGUGGAAGGACCAUCACUCAACGGAUAAAAGGUACUCCGGGGAUAACAGGCUAAUGAACUCCAAGAGUCCAUAUCGACGAGUUCGUUUGGCACCUCGAUGUCGGCUCAUCACAUCCUGGGGCUGAAGAAGGUCCCAAGGGUUUGGCUGUUCGCCAAUUAAAGUGGUACGCGAGCUGGGUUCAGAACGUCGUGAGACAGUUCGGUCCCUAUCUGCCGUAGGUGUAAGGAAAAUUGAGAGGAUCUGACUUUAGUACGGGAGGACCAAGUUGGAUAUACCUCUGGUGUAUCAGUUGUUCCGCCAGGAGCAAUGCUGAGUAGCUAAGUAUAGAAGGGAUAACCGCUGAAAGCAUCUAAGCGGGAAACCCACCUCAAAACUAAUUUUCCCUAUAGUGCCGUGAUAGACUAUCACGUUGAUAGGCUGGAAGUGUAAGUAAAGUAAUUUAUUAAGCUGACCAGUACUAAUAGCACAAUUGAAUUU
rnacentral:rRNA from 1 species